GGAUGCACUGUGGAGAAGGGCCCGCGUGUGUGGGACAGCACCAGGAUUCCUUCGUUAGGCAUUGUCUCAGGGCCUGUCCCUGUUAUGACGAAAACAGCCCCGGUUGGUCUUACUUAGAAAAGGGGCCUUAGGUAUAACCAGUGACAUUGCAGGUGUCCCAAUAUGGCCAUGAAGGAGGCAGAUGACGAUGAGGAAGUCGAUGAUAACAUCCCAGAGAUGCCGUCACCCAAAAAAAUGCACCAGGGGAAGAAAAAGAAACAGAACAAGAAUCGCAUCUCUUGGGUUGGAGAAGCCGUCAAGACUGAUGGGAAGAAGAGUUACUAUAAGAAGGUGUGCAUUGAUGCAGAAACCCUGGAAGUGGGGGACUGUGUUUCUGUUAUUCCAGAUGAUUCCUCAAAACCGCUGUAUCUAGCAAGGGUCACGGCGCUGUGGGAGGACAGCAGCAACGGGCAGAUGUUUCACGCCCACUGGUUCUGCGCUGGGACAGACACAGUCCUCGGGGCCACUUCGGACCCUCUGGAGCUGUUCUUGGUGGAUGAAUGUGAGGACAUGCAGCUUUCAUAUAUCCACAGCAAAGUGAAAGUCAUCUACAAAGCCCCCUCCGAAAACUGGGCCAUGGAGGGAGGCAUGGAUCCCGAGUCCCUGCUGGAGGGGGACGACGGGAAGACCUACUUCUACCAGCUGUGGUACGAUCAAGACUAUGCGAGAUUCGAG
rnacentral:sRNA from 1 species